AGAACAUUGAUGAGCUCUAUAGACCUGUAAUGAUUUGUGAAAAUGAUCGUAACUCUUAACAAACAUCUAAGGGACUGAGUUAAA
rnacentral:snoRNA from 1 species